UACGUAGGGGCCGAGCGUUGUCCGGAGUUAUUGGGCGUAAAGCGCGCGCAGGCGGCUUGGCGCGCCCGACGUGAAAGCCCCCGGCUUAACCGGGGAGGGUCGUCGGGGACGGGCAGGCUUGAGGGCGGGAGAGGGUGGUGGAAUUCCCGGUGUAGUGGUGAAAUGCGUAGAGAUCGGGAGGAACACCUGUGGCGAAGGCGGCGACCUGGGCCGACCCUGACGCUGAGGCGCGAAGGCGUGGGGAGCGAACGGG
rnacentral:rRNA from 1 species